rnacentral:rRNA from 1 species
GCCAGACUCCUACGGGAGGCAGCAGUGGGGGAUAUUGCACAAUGGGGGGAACCCUGAUGCAGCGACGCCGCGUGGGUGAAGGAGCGUUUCGGCGCGUAAAGCCCUAUCGGCAGGGAAGAAGGAGGACGGUACCUGACUAAGAAGCCCCGGCUAACUACGUGCCAGCAGCCGCGGUAAUACGUAGGGGGCAAGCGUUAUCCGGAGUUACUGGGUGUAAAGGGGGCGCAGACGGCAGCGCAAGCCAGGAGUGAAAGCCCGGGGCCCAACCCCGGGACUGCUCUUGGAACUGCGCGGCUGGAGUGCAGGAGGGGCAGGCGGAAUUCCUGGUGUAGCGGUGAAAUGCGUAGAUAUCAGGAGGAACACCGGUGGCGAAGGCGGCCUGCUGGACUGCGACUGACGUUGAGGCCCGAAAGCGUGGGGAGCAAACAGGAUUAGAUACCCUAGUAGC